rnacentral:rRNA from 1 species
AUUGAACGCUGGCGGCAUGCCUUACACAUGCAAGUCGAACGGUAACGGGCCUUCGGGUGCCGACGAGUGGCGAACGGGUGAGUAAUGCAUCGGAACGUACCUUUUAGUGGGGGAUAACGUAGCGAAAGUUACGCUAAUACCGCAUAUUCUGUGAGCAGGAAAGCAGGGGAUCGCAAGACCUUGCGCUGAUUGAGCGGCCGUUGUCAGAUUAGCUAGUUGGUGAGGUAAAGGCUCACCAAGGCGACGAUCUGUAGCGGGUCUGAGAGGAUGAUCCGCCACAGUGGGACUGAGACACGGCCCAGACUCCUACGGGAGGCAGCAGUGGGGAAUUUUGGACAAUGGGGGCAACCCUGAUCCAGCCAUGCCGCGUGAGUGAAGAAGGCCUUCGGGUUGUAAAGCUCUUUCGGCCGGGAAGAAAUCGCACAGGCUAAUACCUUGUGUGGAUGACGGUACCGGAAUAAGAAGCACCGGCUAACUACGUGCCAGCAGCCGCCGUAAGAC